UACAGAGGGGGCAAGCGUUGUUCGGAAUUACUGGGCGUAAAGGGCGCGUAGGCGGGUUUUUAAGUCAGAGGUGAAAUCCUGGAGCUCAACUCCAGAACUGCCUUUGAUACUGAGAAUCUUGAGUACGGGAGAGGUGAGUGGAACUGCGAGUGUAGAGGUGAAAUUCGUAGAUAUUCGCAAGAACACCAGUGGCGAAGGCGGCUCACUGGCCCGUAACUGACGCUGAGGCACGAAAGCGUGGGGAGCAAACAGG
rnacentral:rRNA from 1 species